rnacentral:rRNA from 1 species
ACAUCCAGCGAACUUGGCAGAGAUGCCUUGGUGCCUUCGGGAACGCUGAGACAGGUGCUGCAUGGCUGUCGUCAGCUCGUGUUGUGAAAUGUUGGUUAAGUCCCGCAACGAGCGCAACCCUUAUCCUUUGUUGCCAGCGAUUCGGUCGGGAACUCAAAGGAGACUGCCGGUGAUAAACCGGAGGAAGGUGGGGAUGACGUCAAGUCAUCAUGGCCCUUACGAGUAGGGCUACACACGUGCUACAAUGGCGCAUACAAAGAGAAGCGACCUCGCGAGAGCAAGCGGACCUCAUAAAGUGCGUCGUAGUCCGGAUCGGAGUCUGCAACUCGACUCCGUGAAGUCGGAAUCGCUAGUAAUCGUGGAUCAGAAUGCCACGGUGAAUACGUUCCCGGGCCUUGUACACACCGCCCGUCACACCAUGGGAGUGGGUUGCAAAAGAAGUAGGUAGCUUAACCUUCGGGAGGGCGCUUACCACUUUGUGAUUCAUGACUGGGGUGAAGUCGUAACAAGGUAGGCGUAGCGAG